rnacentral:rRNA from 1 species
UUUAUUUAAAGUCUGGUCUGCUCCCUGAGUGAUUUAAGAGCCGCAGUAUUUUGACUGUGCGAAGGUAGCAUAAUAAUUAGUUUCUUUAUUGGGAACUGGUAUGAAUGGUUGGACGAGAAAAUGGCUGUCUCUUUUUGAUAAAUUGAAUUUUACUUUUAAGUUAAAAGGCUUAAAUUUUUUUAAAAGACGAGAAGACCCNAUAGAGUUUUAUUUUUUGGAAUAUUUUUUAUUUUAGGUAUUUAAUGUUUAAAAAUUUGGGAAAAUUUGGUUGGGGUGACUGAAAAAUUUAGUUAACUUUUUUUUUAUUUAGACAAUUUUUAUUGAGUAUUUGAUCCUUUUUNUUUGAUUAUAAGAUUAAAUUACCUUAGGGAUAACAGCGUAAUCUU